UUGUUGACGCACUUGUUCAAAGGAGUUUGACCGCCCAACUUUUGUUUUCCCUCGGCUAUCUUCCGCUUUAGCUCCUUCCUUGUCAAAAACAGCAUUGCACUUUGGGCACAUGGCGAUGGUGCUGUCAGAUUCUUUAAUUCUCAA